rnacentral:rRNA from 1 species
UGCGUAGGCGGCUAGGCAAGUCAGACGUGAAAACCAUGGGCUCAACCUGUGGACUGCGUUUGAAACUGUUUAGCUUGAGUGAAGUAGAGGUAGGCGGAAUUCCCGGUGUAGCGGUGAAAUGCGUAGAGAUCGGGAGGAACACCAGUGGCGAAGGCGGCCUACUGGGCUUUAACUGACGCUGAGGCACGAAAGCAUGGGUAAGCAAACA